CGCGAACUGGGAUUCCCUCAAUCGUGCGGAGGCUGAGAGCCAGCCCCCGCGCGCAUGGUGGGAGGGUGAAGGCCUCAACCCCACCUCCUUUCUACGUCGGAAGUGGCUUUCUGCCACAGUGGUCUGGGUAUACAGUUUUGCUGAGGUGGGCCUUUCCUCUGAUAACUCGCUCUUUGUCUCUUAAAUACCCUAGGAUUCAGCUCUGCACUCUGUCUCUUUUUUUAAAAAAAUAAUUUUUAUUAAAUUUUCCAUUUUAACAAUCCAAUCAAAUCACAUUAAAUAUUCCAGAUUAUACAAAUACAUAUCGUAUAGUCCAAAUAUUCCGCCAAAUUAUAAAUUUUUAUUGGGACUUCAAGUUGCCUCAAGUUCAGUGGGGCUCUGAUCAACUUAUAUCUCUACUGCCUUGAGUUUCCAAUAGUUCCUUUAAACCUUCCUGUUGUUACCCUUCCUUCCCCAGCUCUGCACUCUCAUCACUUCCCUGCUCCCUCUGGCCAGCCCUGCCAAGAUGUCCCCACGGAGCUCACGACAGACUUUUUGCUCCUUAUACUGGAACACGCUACAAGGCGUCAUCCGACCUUCUUAGGGACUCCACUUACUCCUUAGCCUUUUCUUCUCCUGGAGAUACCCAACAAGGCAACAGAGGUUUAGGGCCAGAGUUUUCCAUUCUUAGAUGGGCUACUUUCCCAGGAUGGCGAACCCCACCUGCCCCUCAGGCUUACAAUCUUAAAAAAGACACGACACAAAAGGAAAAAAGAUUGGGCAGCAGGAGGAAAGAAGCAAUCUUGGGUGAAAGCUCCUGGAUACAAAUUCUUCUAUUGAUCAGCUGGGUUGGAAAAAUUCCAAGGAGGGGAGAUGCUCAAAGGUUGCUGGUCUCUCAGUUGUGUUGAUGUUAAUGGCUGCUGCCAGGUGAUUGUUUACUUAUAUGUAUUAGAUGCCUCAUAAAUUCUCCAGGCAACAUACAGCUUUAAGUAUGUAUAAAACGAUUAGAAACGUGAUGCUGCAAUCAAACAUCAAACUAUUGAAAACCCAGCACAAGAAGAAAACUCAGACACAUAAUUUUACACAUCAGAAGAGCUAAUCACUUCAAAUACUAAAACCCAUCAGCCGGCAAAGACUGAUCGUCUAUCUCCAC